AACAUUCCAGUUAAUUAUGGAGAUUUGAAAGCUGCAGCCUUGAUAUGGUGUGGUCCAGCCACAGAGAAGAGCUGAUAGUGCUUUCACUAAUUACUGUUGUAUCUGUGGUCAAAUGAGCACUGUAUCUUGCUGAUAAAUAAUUAUAAGGGAAAAUGUUAACUGUAUUCCCUUUGGAAUGAAAUGGAAACACAUUAGUGGCCCAUCUCAUAGUGUGAGUCUCUGAGGUUAUAGAGAAGAAUGCCCUGGACUUAAAGCUAAAAGAUUAAUCUGCCAGGCUCAGACUUACCGCUCUAUGGUGUUGGGCAAGUCAUGUCACUUUCUGAGUUGCAAAUUCUUUAUCUACACAAGUGAAUCAGUCAUAAAAUAACUUCUUAUUAGAUUGAGCAGAUCAAACAAUUGCAUGCUUGUGAAAGCAUUUUAUAAAAGUCCCAGUACUGUGUUAGUGUAAGAGGCUUGUGCUUACAGGUAUUGUUAAUUAGUAAUAGCUGAUAUUUUACGAAAUAUGCAAGUAUAUCCCAGGUACUGUUUGAAGGACUCUUGAUCUAUAGACUUAUUGUGUCCUUGUAACAAUCUUGCGAGGUAGACAAUAGUAAAUAGAACCCUAACCAAUGAAAGAGAAAAUUAUUUUAUUCUGCUGUAGGAUACUUAGUUCUUUUCCAAUCUUCAACCUAAACGUAGGUAUAGAACUGACAAAAUAGGCGUUGGUGAAGAUGCACGGAAACUUGGGUUCUGUGGGGUAGGUAAUUUUUUAGUAAGGACAAUCUCUUCUAAAGGCUCCUUACAAUGGAACUAGCCCUACCUGGGUAUUUGUCUGAAAUCAACGCAGAUGUUCAUGUUGGGGGCACAGUGUUGUUUAAGAUACUCAUGUCAGUUUUCCUCUUAGACAUUGAGGAAGUUAAUCUUCAUAUAGUUUUGUUUCUCCUUUUGUGUAUUCCCUCCAAGACAAUGUGCUUUCAAAUGGUGGUUGAGUGAAUGAAUGUAUGCAUGCGUUGGAAAGCAAAUGUUGUAACCACAGAAGAAAAAUCUUAAGGAAAAAGGUCACUUGUUGUUGUACAAUAACCACCUCCCUUCUCCUCCAAAUAAUGUCUUCCAAAAUCAUACGUGAGGUUUUUUUUGCUUUAACUACAGUUUUGAAUAAUUACUGCUCUUCCUUUUCUUCUUUACUAUGGAUAAUUAAAAAUUGUUGACAUUAAGUAUGUGUGUGUGGUAGGGAAUGGGGAAUGAUUACCAAGAAAUAUAUUGCAGGCAUUUUACACUGGACAUUUUAGCUAAGAGAAAUGGCAACUCAUAGGAUAUUGACCGAUGAUCAGUGAAGUCUGGUUUGUGAGCAGCAUUGGAAAUGAGUGAACCGUGUUAAGACAGCUAAACCUGAUCAAUCCAUGUUGCUACAUGGGUAUCUUGAAAGAGCCAGGAAAAGAAGGCUUAAGGGUCCUCUUUAGGAAGAUAAAUAGACUUUCUCUGAGUGAAAUAUUUUCUAAAGGAUGCUUAAAAUAUUAAAAUUUAGAGUAGACAGAAAAGUUAACUAUUGAUAUUUGUCUGAUUUUAAUUCAACUUUAAACAUUUCUUUUGUGUGUCUUUUAUUUGUAAAGGGAUUGGAAAUAUAAAAAAAUCAAUUCAAAUCUGAUACGAUUCUAUUUCUGAAUUAUCUUGAAUAUGUGAUAUUGUUGUGAAUCCUGAAAUUUUGGGUCUUUGCCUCUGAAGCACUUUAUAGUUGCUUUGCUGAAAACAUACUUCAAUGAGUGUGUAUGAUGAGCCUUUCUUCUGGAACAAACCACAUGUUGGAAACCAGAUUCAUUUGAGUUUAUGCAAAUCAUCUACAGUGAACACCCAUCCCCAACAAAUGAAGUUGAAAGGAGAUUCUGGGUUUUUCACACUGCCAUCAUGUUUAGGGGUGAGCAGACUAGAGGCUUUAGUAAAGCUUACAUAAAAAAUUUUUUCACUUGUUUAAAGGGAGGACUAGGGAAUGACAGUGGCUGCUGGGGGAACAGAGUUAAAAUCACUAUAGUGUGAUUACUAUGGAUGUCAGCAGCAUCACAACCCCUGAAGCGUCUGUGCCUUAGACAAUGUGGACUUAUGUUGUACAAGUACAAACACAUUUACAUUUUCCCUUCUGUUGCAUUUAGAGGCUAGUGGAGUAGUGAGCCAUCUUCUCUUUUCUUGGGUAUAUAAUUGAAUCUCUGGUAAAUUGAUCCACUCAAAAUCUACCUUAAAAAACCUGUGGCUAGAAAUACAUACAUCUAAAGCAAUUCAAUAAUGUAAAUUCUUAUAGCUUUUCUGGAUGACAGCUUGAUAAUCAUUAUCAAAAUUUUAAAUGUGUGCAAUUUUGGGUCCAAUAAUUUUUUCUCUAGGAACUUGCCUAAGGAAAUAAUUAUCCAUAUGUACAAAGAUGGCUGCAGGAGAACAAGCUGAAAAUAGCCCAAAUGUCCAUUCAUGGGACACUGGCUAAAGAAACUGUAUUAAUGUGAUGGGAUAUAAUUUUUCCUUUGUGAGGAUGCAGGAGACUUAUAUGUAUUUAUGUGGAAAAAUGUGAUAAUAUUUUAAAGUAGAAAGGGAAUGAGAAGGGUAGGUUAUAACACAGUAGGUAUAGUAUGUUUCCAUUUAGGUAAAGAUGUCUGUCUCUGUAUAAAGGCAUCAUUGAAUUUGGCAGGGUUUUCCACAAUUUGAGCAGCAGUUUCUAUCUGGAGUUAAAAUUAUGGAGAAAACUUUCACUUUCUGUACUUCUGCUUUGCUUGAAUUUUGAAUAAGAUAUGUAUUAUUUUAAGUGUAUUUAUUUUAAAGCCCUUUUUGGAUUGUCCCAUUAACUUUAAUAGCUCAACCAUGACAUUUUCUGUUUGUUGGGUUAGUUUUAUGCUUUUAGGGUACUGAAUUUCCUCAUGUGGCUUCUAAUUCUUGCUGGUGGUUUAUUUGGCGGAGGAGUAAAUUAUUGUGGGGUCUUUUUGCCUAUGUGUGCCUUGGAUUGUAGAGGCUUCUGGUGAGGUCUUUAUACAUCUAUCUUCCCCUGAACUCUGGGAUGUGAGAGCUCUGGCCAGGUUUUACACUAAUGUUUCAAGUUGACAUUCUGUUUGCUUCUGACUGAUUAUGCAAAUCAAGUUCCUCCAUAUGCAGACUUCUCACAGGGAACCUGGGGUACCUCUGGGCCCUGCCACUUUGACUCCUGCCAUGCUGGCUUUGAAACCAAUUCCUCAGCAUACCACCUGUUUCAGAGUAGCCUAGUGACCUCAUCUGUAAUAGGCAAUGCUAGAGUCCAUGUGUAUAUGUGGGUUAGGGGAGGAUUGUGGCAUGUGCUUAAUCUACCCUGUUGACACUGAAAUUUGUAUUGCUUUCAUCGUUUUAAAAAGUGUGUGUGUGUGUGUUUGUGUGUGUGUCUAUAUAUUCAUUUUGGGUAAAAUAAUUCUCUAUCUUAGAAAGUGACAUUUUGGGACCCUUAGCCCCAAUUCCUCAAAGACUCAGAACCCUUACUCCAGAAAAAGCUUGUCUGGCUACAAGUUGCCUCCAGCUCUUACAGACCAAAGAGAAACCAAUAGAGUACCCAGAUCACUUGCAAGUCUUAUGGGGAAGGAUAGUAGAGUCUAGUUGAAAUAAAAAAUGAAUCCAAUUGAAAUGCGGAUCUGCAAAAAAUACUUAUCAGGAUAAGUCCUAAAUGCUUGUGGGUACUUGGAAAUUCAGAGAGAAUGUGUAUGCCAUGCCAUGCCACAGCUAUAGUUACCAGUUUAAGAGGAAAACAGUUAUAUCUACUUAGCUUUACAGCAGGGCACAGGCAAGAAAUAUAGUUACCAAAGCAUUUUCAUCUCAUUAGGAGGCCCAGAAGUUAUCCAAGUACACAGCUUCUUUUGACCCAUCACCCACACAGCUGCCACAGUUGAGAGUCCAGGUGAGGAUGAGUCUCUUUGAUAUAUAAAAGGCUCAGCCUCUUUUUUACACCAUUCAUUUAUACCAUUCUAGUAAUGUAGACUCAAGACAAAGCCACAGCUCCUGAAGACCAGGAGUGGUUCCACAUAGCAGUUUCCAAAAAACCAGCACUAUGGGAAACUGAAGUCCUUCUCAGACAGGCCAGCCCUGAGACUGAUUAACCCUUUACUUACAGAGCAGUCAGAACAAGACUGCAAGGGAGGGUACUCUAGUACAGGUAGAACUUGACCAGUGCUACGAAGUAUGGAUAAAUUCCAAUAUGUAGCCCUAAGAAUGGAGGGUGCCUGGAGCCAUGAAGUCUAAGCACGUUGAACUGAGGUAUGGCAGCAGAAAUGCUCAGGUGGGUUCAACAUCAGUCUCUUCAAGUCAGAAUUUGUAUGGCAGAAAUCAAGUCUGAAAGAGUAGGUUUGGACCAAACUGUGAUGGAAUUUGAAUGUUGGAGUGAGUACCAUGGGUUUACUUUCCACCUUCAUUGUUCAAUACAAUAGCCACUAGUACAUGUGGCUAUUCAGAUUUAUUUAAAUGGAAUAAAAUGAAAAAAUUAUUUCUUUGGUCAUAUCAGCCACAUUUCAAGUGUUCAUUAUCCCAUGUUUUGAGGGGCUGCUGCUUUGGACAGUGUGGACAUGAACAUGAUCAUUAUGGCAGAAAGUCCUAUUAGACAUUGCUUCUCUAAAACCAUUGCAGUUCUCUGGGUAUAGGAAUAAGAUGUAAAAUGGAAUUAUGUUGAUAUUUUCUCUGAUCCUCAUCCUUGGGCUUGAGUGGACAAGUGCUUCAGUCACUAAAAAAAAAGUCAAAAUACUGGAGAGUUUCUUUUGAAAUUGAUGUUCCCUAAUGCUCUGAUGGUUGGAAUUUGAGAUUGUAUGGCAACUCUGGCUAUGUAAUAAGAUCAGCCCAUCAGCCCAUCAGUAUCCUAUCUGUUUCCUAUCCUGGAAUACAAUAAUGUGUCUUUACAAGUGGACUAAACAUGACGUUGGGAAUUCUUGACUUCUAGACUUGAUUUUCUAGGUGUUCAUGAGGAAACCUUGCUGUGUUUUUAUGCCUGUCAAAUAUGGGUUUCAUAAGGUUAAUCAUCCUUGUUUUUCUGUUUGUUUUUUUUUUUUCCUGUCACAGUGCUAAUUCCUGGAGUCAGCGUUCUUUGAGUGUUCCUUGUAUUUGCAUGCCUCUCCCGUACCUUUUCUUUAUAAAAUCUGUAUCCCCAUUUUACAGCUGAGAAACCCAAGGAUGUAAAUGACUCACUAAAACUUAGUUUCUGGCUAAUAAUCUGGAGGAAGAUAUAACUCUCUCUGUUAAAUUCAGGGUUUUUGUGCUCCUAACAUGAAAUAAUACAAAUCAUCCAUUUAUUUGAAAAGAAAAUAUAGUCUGUUACACUGAGAAUCUGGCCAACUAGGCAGAAGAAGAGGUUAAAAUCCUGCAUGUAUUUGUUACUCCUCAGGGAGAAAACAGCAAAUCUUGAUUGCUGUAUUAUAUAAGGGAGAAGCAAUGCCAACAUCUAAAACAGUGAAUAAUUGCCUACACUUGGCUUUGGGAUGUAUUAUGUGAAUCUUUGGCAGCAGAUAGUCUUUUCUCAUUAGGCUAAUAUUAGAUUUAGUUUGUAAUUCUUUGGCACAGAGUUUAAAGGAGCUGGCCUGGAACUUGGUGCUGGAGGCAGGAGGAGGAGAAAGCUAGGUGCUUUAGAUAAGCCACUGGCGGAUAAAUGAGAGUUGACUGCAGGGCAACUUGUGGACAUUUGUAAGCAGGAACCAUUAAUCUGAGAUUAAAACAGAGAGAAAAAAAUAACUUAGACUUAGGUUAAGAGAUGAAGGGUGGUCUGUACUUAACCUUUAUCAAAUUACAUUGCUUAGCUGCCUUUGAGAAGGUCUGUUGCAAUUUAGGAAUAGAAUGAUCUAAUUCUUGACUAUCUGUAUUUCUUGGCUCAAGGAGCACAAAUGUCUCCAAAAAAAGCUGCCAACCCAGUUUAAUGUCACCAAUGAUAGGAAAGGACACAAUGCAUGAGAAACAUAAUGAGAUGUACUUUCUUAAGAAUUCUCAUAAGGGUCAGAGCAAGAGACAAGCAAGUAUGACUUCAUGCUAUGUGAGUUCCAGGACCCCAGUACAUGUAUGUUGAGCUCCUGGACAGAACUCAAACAAAACUACAAUAAACUUGUAUCUGAAGAGGUAAGCUUUUAUUACUAACAUGUUAAGCUCUGAAAAGUAUGAAAUUAAUAGGAUAUAUUUAAGCGAUAGGUUCAUUGCAUAAACAACAAAGAAGAAAACCUAGAGAGCAUUUGACCAUCUAAUUUAUUUUACAGGGAGAUGAGACUGAAUGACUUCACAAAGAUCUUAGAGCUAGCAGUGGCACAGACUACCUAAAACACAGUUCAUCCAACACAUGAACAGUGCUUUUCACUCUUUUGUGCUCACAAUUCUAUAGGAAAUAAAAACUGCUUGGAGCCACUUGGUUAAUAGCAUUUGUCUGGUGGAGUAAGACUACAGGGUAUGCCAUUUGACAAUGUAAAAGGAAGGUGGUGUUCAAGAGCGUGUAUCAGAGCCCACCAGAUUCAUUUGAGUUUAUCCACCUAAACUACAAAGUUACUAAAGUGAUUCUCUUUGGAGAUUAUUGGUACUUGCCAUCCCUUCUGCCUGUGAUGUUCUCCCCUUGAUUAUUGUUCAGCUAGUUCCUUGUCAUUUAUGUCCUAGCUCAAAUGUGCUUCUCCAAGAGGUCUUUCCUGACCACCCUAACUAAAUGAAUUCCCAGUCACAUUCUCUGACAUCACUUGUUUUGUUGUCCUGCAUAUAACUUUUCCUGGUCUGAAAUCAUCUUGUUUUUUUUCUGUCUCUUCACUCAGAAUUUAAACUAUUUGAGAGCAGUGAUCUCGUCUGUCUUGUUCACUGCUGUAAUAUCAAUGCCUGCUACUGUGUCCAGCACAUAAUAAAAAGAUUAAGUUUUUGAUAAAUGAAUGAAUAAGCCAGUUCAUGUAAUACAGAAGCCCCUUGCCUCUGGGUUUAUAUCUCUUGCCUCACAGUUAUUUCAUUAUCUUUAGCUCCUCCACAAGUGAGCAGAAGGAUGUCUUACUGAGUUCUGUAAUUGUUGAUGAUAUCAAGAGAAUGCUUUUCUGGAUUGGUACAAGUGGCCUAUUAUCUAUACAGUGGGCAAGGGAUACUUCCAAAGCCAUUCCAUUACCCUUCACCUUCAAAAGUUUACUCUAUGUUGUCACUGAGACCAAGCAAAUUCCUUAUUGCAGUUUGUAUCAAUCUAUACUUCACUUAUAUGUAAGAACCAUUGUGAAAUACAGUAUGGCGACUCUUCAAAGACCAAAAAACAAAUACCAUUUGACCCAGGGUGUUAGUCUGUUCUCACAUUGCUAUAAGAAAAUACCCAAGACUGGGUAAUUUAUAAAGAGAAAAGGUUUAGGCUAGGCUCAGUGGCUCAUGCCUGUAAUCCCAGCACUUUGGGAGCUCAAGGCAGGUGGAUCACUUGAGGUCAGGAGUUCAAGACCAGCAUGGCCAACAGAGUGAAACACCGUUUCUACUAAAAAUGCAAAAGAAUUAGCUGGGCAUGGUGGGCACCUGUCAUCCCAGCUGGGCUCCUGUAAUCCCAGCUACUCAGGAGGCUGAGGUAGGAGAAUCACUUGAACCCAGGAGGCAGAGGUUGCAGUUAGCCAGGAUCACACCACUGCACUCCAGCCUGGGCAACAAUAGCAAAACUCCAUCUCAAAAAAAAAAAAAAAGAGAGAGAGAGAGAGAAGAAAAGAGGUUUAGGGGCUGGGCGCGGUGGCUCAAGCCUGUAAUCCCAGCACUUUGGGAGGCUGAGGCGGGUGGAUCAUGAGGUCAAGAGAUCGAGACCAUCCUGGUCAACACGGUGAAACCCUGUCUCUACUAAAAAUACAAAAAGUUAGCUGGUCAUGGUGGCAUGUGCCUGUAAUCCCAGCUACUCAGGAGGCUGAAACAGGAGAAUUGCCUGAACCCAGAAGGUGGAGGUUGCGGUGAACCGAGAUUGUGCCAUUGCACUCCAGCCUGGGUAGCAAGAGCGAAACUCUAUCUCAAAAAAAAAAAAAAAAAAGAUUUAACUGACUGACAGUUCUUCUUGGCUGGGGAGGCUUUCAGAAACUUACAAUCAUGGCAAAGGCACCUCUUCACAGGACAGCAGGAGAGACUGAGUGCCAUCAGGGGAAAUGCCAGCUGCUUAUAGAACCAUCAGACCUUGUGAGAACUGACUCACUAUCACAGGAAGAGAAAGGGGGAAACAGCCCCCAUAAUUCGAUUACCUCCCACCAGGUUCCUCCCACAACAUGUGGGGAUGAUGGGGAUUACAAUUCAAGAUGAGGUUUUGGGUGUGGACACAGACAAACCAUAUCACCCAAUAUAUUCGUUUGUUUUCAUGCUGCUGAUAAAGACAUACCCAAGACUGCACAAUUUACAAAAGAAAGAGGUUUAAUUGGUCUUACACUUCCAUGUAGCUGGGGAGGUCUCACAAUUAUGGUAGAAGGCAAAGAGGAGCAAGUCAUGACUUACAUGGAUGGCAGCAGCCAAAGAGAGAGCUAAAUACUAUCAGGUGUCAUGAGACUUAUUCUCUGUCCUGAGAACAGCAUGGGAAAGACUGCCCCCAUGAUUCAAUUACCUCCUACCAUGUCCCUCCUACAAAACAUGGGAAUUCAAGAAUUCAAGAUUUUGGUGGGGACACAGCCAAACCAUAUCAUUCUGCCCCUGGACUCCCCAAAAUCUCAUGUCCUCACAUUUCAAAAGCAGUCAUGCCUUCCCAACAGUUCCCCAAAGACUUAACUCAUUCCAGCAUUAACUCAAAAGUCCACAGUCCAAAGUCUCAUUCAAGACAAGGCAAGUCCCUUCCACCUAUGCAGUCUGUAAAAUCAAAAGCAGGUUAGUUACUUCUAGAUACAAUGGGGGUACAGGCAUUGGGUAAAUACUGCCAUUCCAAAUGGGAGAAACUGGAAUGGGGGUACAGGCAUUAGGUAAAUACUGCCAUUCCAAAUGGGAGAAACCUCCAAAACAAAGAGGUUAUGCGCCCCAUGCAAAUCUGAAAUCCAGCAGGGCAGUCAAAUCUUAAAGUUCCAAAAUGACCUCCUUUGACUCCAGGUCUCACUGAUGUGAGGUUCCCAUGGUCUUGGGAAGCUCCACCCCUGUGGCUUUGCAGGGUACAGCCUCCUUCCCGGCUGCUUUUCUAGACUGGCAAUGAGUGUCUUCAGCUUUCCCAGGCCUAUGGUGCAAGCUGUCAAUAGAUCUGCCACUCUGAGGUCUUGAGGAUGGUGGCCCUCUUCUCAUAGCUCCACUAGACAGUGUCCUAGUAAAGCUCUGUGUUGGGGCUCUGACCCUAUAUUUCUCUUCUUUAUUGUUCUAGCAGAGGUUUUCCAUGAGGACCCCGCCCCUAUGGCAAACUUCUGUCUGGACACCCAGGCAUUUCCAUGCAUCUUCUGAAAUCUCAAUGGAGGUUUCGGGACCCCAGUUCUUGAUUUCUGUGUACUGGCAGGCUCAAAACCAAAUGGAAGCUACCAAGGCUUGAGACUUGCACUUCUGUAGCCAUGGCCCAAGCUCUAUGUUGGCCUCUUUCAGCCAUGGCUGGAGCAGCUGGGAUAUAGGGCUCCAAGUCCCUAAGAUGCACAUCACAUGGGGACCCUGGGCCUGGCCCACAAAACUGCUUUUUCCUCUAGGGCCUCUGGGCCUGUGAUGAGAGGGGCUGCACUGGAGACAUUUUCCCCAUUGUCUUGGGGAUUAACAUUCAGUUCCUCAUUUAUAUGAAUUUCUUCAGCCAGCUUGAAUUUUUCCCAAGAAAAUGGGGUUUUCUCUUCUAUAAUGUUGUCAGGCUACAAAUUUUUUGAACUUUUAUGCUCUGCUUCCUAUAUAAACUUGAAUGUAUUUAACAACACCCAAGUCACCUCUUGAAUGCUUUGCUGCUUACAAGUAUCUUCUGCCAGAGACCCUAAAUUAUCCCUCUCAAGUUCAGAGUUCCACAAAUCCCUAGGGCAGGGGUAAAAUGACACCGUCUCUUUACUAACAUGUAACAGAGUCACCAUUGCUCCAGUUCCCAACAAGUUCCUCAUCUCCAUCUGAGAUGACCUCAGCUUGGGCAUUACUGUUCAUGUCACUAUCAGCAUUUUUGUCAAAGCCAUUCAACAAGUCUCUAGGGAGGUUCAAACUUUCCCACUAAAACCGAGCCCUCUAAACUGUUUGAACCUCUGCUUGCUACCCAGUUCCAAAGUUGUUUCCACGUUUUUAGGUAUCUUUUCAGCAACACCCAACUCCUAAUACCAAUUUAUUGUAUUAGUCUGUUUUCAUGCUGCUGAUUAAGACACAACCGAGACUGCACAGUUUACAAAAGAAAGAGGUUUAAUGAGACAUACAGUUCCACAUGGCUGGGGAAGUCUCACAAUAAUGGGGGAAGGCAAGGAGGAGCAAGUCAUGUCUUACAUGGAUGGCAGCAGGCAAAUAAAGUUGUUCAGGGGAACUCCUUUUUUUGAAACCAUCUGAUCUUGUGAGACUUAGUCAUGAGAAUAGCAUGGGAAAGACUUGUCCCCAUGAUUCAAUUACCUCCCACUGAGUCCCUCCCACAACAUUUGGAAAUUCAAGGUGAGGUUUAGGUGGGGACACAGCCAAAUCAUAUGAUCUGGUCAUCUUAUAACUAGGCAUAAUAUACCCAGAGGAAUAGAAAUCAUUCUGUUACAAAGAUACACAUAUGCUCAUUGCAGCACUAUUCACAAUAGCAGUGAUAUGGAAUUAACCUAAAUUCCCAUCAAUGAUAGAUUGGAUAAAGAAGAUGUGGCAUAUGUACCCGAUGGAAUACUAUGCAGCCAUAUUUAAAAAAAUGAGAUCCUGCCAUUUGUGGGGACAAGGAUGGAGCUAGAGGCCAUUAUCCUUAGCAAACUAAUACAGGAACAGAAAACCAAAUAUGGCAUGUUCUCACUUAUAAAUGGGAGCUAAAUCAUGAGAACACAUGGACACACAGAAAGGAAUAACACAUACUGAGAGGCCUGUGAGAGUAUGGAGGACGGGAGGAGGGAGAAGAUUGGGAUGAAUAACUAAUGGGUACUAGGCUUAAUACCUGGGUGACAAAAUAAUCUCUACAAUAAACCCCCAUAACACAAGUUUACCUGUAUAACAAACCUGCACAUAUACCCCUGAACUUAAAAGUUAAAAAAAAAGUCUCUAAUUGCCUGAAUAGGGCCCUAUGACCUCUGCUACCCUACAGCAUUGGCCAAGAUUUCAGGUGGCAUGGCUCUUAAGCCCUCCUCUGCAGCUCUUUUCAGGGUCACUGUUGUAAGCAUCAGUGGGCUCCUAUGAUUUCUACCCCAUCUCCCUGAUCUAGCCCAAAUUUGAAGGAAAUGGAAAGCAGCUUCUUCUCUUUCUCUUUAAGUGCUUAGGAAUUCCUGACUUAAACUGAAAAAUUGGAGCACAGGUGCCAAGUGAAACCUGAAAUAUUAUGUCCAAGGCUGUAUGGAUUAGAAAUUGUUUUCAAAUGUUGAUUUCACACAUACCCUUAGAUAUAUGCUGUAUUAGUCAGCCUCAGCUGCUAUAACAAAUUACUGCAGACUUGGUAGCUUAAACAACAGACAUUUAUUUCUCACAGUUCUGAAGGCUGGGAAAUCCAAGAUCAAGGUGCCAGCUGAGUUGAUUCCAGAGAGGAUGCUCUUUCUGUCUUGCAGAGACCACCUUCUCACUGUGUUCUCAAAUGGUGGAGAGAAAGUUUGCUUAGGUGUCUCUCUCUCCUCUCUAUGGAUGCUAAUCUCAUUGUGGGGGUCCACACCCUCACUAACAUAAUCUAAACUCCCAAUUAACUGUCAAAGGCCCUAGCUUCAAAUACUACCCUAUUGGGGGUUAGGGCUUCAACCUGUCCAUUUUAGGAGGCACACACAUUCAGUCUGUGACAUAUACAGACUGAAUAUCUCUGAUCUGAAAUACCUAAGAUCAGACAUGUUUUGGAUUUUUUUCAAAUUUCGGAGUAUUUGCAUAUUCAAAUUCUAUAUCUCAUCCAAAUUAGAUAUCUUGGAGAUGGGAUCCAAGUCUAAGCAUGAAAUUCAUUUGUGUUUCAUAUACAUGUAAUAUAUAUACCCUGAAGGCAAUUUAUAUAAUAUUUUAAAUGUUGUGCAUGACACAAAUUUUUGACUGACCCAUAAUAUGAGGUCAGGAGUGGAAUUUUCUACUUAUGGCAUCAUGUCAUUGUUCAAAGUUUUGGGUUUUGGAGCAAUUUUGAUUUUGGAUUUUUAUAUUAAGUUUGCUCAACCUGCACCAAAUUUGCAUUUUGACCAAAUGCCAAAUGACUGAGUGUUAAACCAGUAUUGGCUGAAGUUGAAUAUCACCAUCGUAAAAUGAAUGUCUGGUAUAUAAGAAUAAAUCUGAAAUAUUAAUAAGAAUACCUAUUUACUACAGCUUAAUUAAAAUUAUACCAAGCAGAAUUUUUUUAAAUUGGCAUUAUAGAGCAGUGGUAAUAAUUUCUCAGCUGUCAGCUCCUGUGGUUGUUCUAUUGCAUAUUUAUGAUACUGAAAAUAUGCUCUGUUUCAACUGAGGUCAGUGAAGGAGCAAAAUACGCUUUUAUCAACCUCUGCCAUUACAGUAGUAGUGUUAAUGGUGAUAUUCCCCCCAAGUCCUACUCUCCAGUAAUAACUGACUACAGUAAAAUCUUUAACUCCUGGAAUUGCCAUCUUGCUGAUGGUCAUCCAAAGCUUUGGAUUGUACAAGAAGAGGAUUUCUUUUUUAAUGUUCAAAAUCAGGCUUAAUUUUGUUUUUUUUCACUUGAGGGUUUUCCUCUUAAGCAAUGUUUUCACAAUAUUCAUUGCAAAACAUAGUCCUCAAUUCAGCAACCAGAAUGAUCUUGUUAAUGUGUGAGUCAGAUCAUGUCCCUCUUUUGCUCAUAAUCCUCUAAUCACAUCCUGUUUUCCUCAAAUUAAAGCCAAACUUCUUAGUGCCCUACCAGGUCCUGCAUGAUCUGUGCCCCGGCAAGUCCCUCCUGUCAUCUGCUACUAGGCUCCUCUAUGCUCAGGCUGCUCCUAGUUCAAACCAGGUACCUUCCCACCUCUAAGCCUUUAUACUGGCUGUUACCUCUUCCUUGAAGCAUCUUUCCUGGGGACAUACAAGGCACACUCCUUCAUUUCCAUCAAAUAUUUGCUCCAGUAUCACCUCCUCAGUGAGGCUAAAAUGGUCAGUCUCUCUUCCAGGGCCCCUGAUUCCUGACUCUGUCCUGUAAUUUCUUUACCUCACUAACACACUCAUCACUUUCUGAAACCAUAUAUAAUUUAUGUUUAUUAUAAUUUUAGAUCAUCAUCCACUAGAGCAUAAACUGUAAGGCAGGAUCCCAUGUUUUGUGACAUGUCCCUGACAAUAAAAUCCAUUCCUGGUACAUGGAAGGACUCAACUAUUUGUUUGAAUGAAUUCUUGUAAUAGUUAGUAUACAUUUAGUCUUCAGCUUGCUGGUAGGAUUUUAAGAUAUAAAGCAAUCUGGAACCAUUUCACUGUUUAAAUCACAUCUAGAAUAUCUACAUUUAUUAAAAAGGGAAUUUUCAUAAAGCAACAGUAAAACCAAAGGGCCCUGCUAUUUGUUAUUGAUAAUACUGCAGUAGUUAGAUGUGAUCAAAUGAUAAUUAAUUGCACACAAGUUCAGGGUUGCCAGAAAUAUAGUUGAAGUGGCAUCUAAACCAAGGCUGAAGCCAAACCCCAAUAGCAGAUUUUUGGCCAAAUACCACAACGAAAGCUGAACUUCAGUGCCCCUUUGUCCCUUAUGUAAUUCCACAGUUAGAUCCUAAAUAUUCACUUGUCUAACUUGUGUAUUGUGUAGCUUAUCUAUUUUGGGAGAUGGGAAGAAUUGGAUACCAGCCUUUUCUAAUGUUGUACUGAAUAGAUGAAGGAUUAACCCUACCCAUGCCUGGAUGGUAGUAACCUCCUAGAGGUUGUUAGUUAAUAAGCCAGAACUAGAACACAUGGAAGACAGGAGAACAUCAAAGCUUGCAUUUUUUAUCAAGCAGAAGGUGUUUAUAGAAAAAAUGUGAUUUCACUAUUUUUGACUUAUCUUCAAAUACCAUAGUAAAGAACACAGGCUCUGGGGUCUGAUAUCUGCUCGGCCACUUACCUGGGGCCAAUUUCUUACCUCUCUCUGCUUUAGUGUCUUCAUAUGUCCAGUAGGAAUAAUAUCUACCUCAUGAGAGAGAUGUCAUUAGGAUCAUUGGAGUUUGUAAGUGAAGUGCUUAGAAUAGCACUUGAUACACAGUGAGCACUAUAUAAGUUUUCUGUUGUUAUUUUUGCUAUCAUUAUUAUCCUCAGGAAAUGUUUUGGCAAGGUGGUUUGGAAAAAAAUAUGUAUAUAUAUUUAGCAGAGGUUCCAAAUUGGCUGCCUGUAACCUAUUGAACCUACCAGCAAGUUUUGUAUGUUCACCCAAACUGAAAGUUAAUUUUUUAUAACAGUGGAGAAACCCAGAAAUUUUUCACUUAAAAGUUCCAGAUUUCUCACUUCUCUUAAAAAAUUUAAAAAAUCUGGAAAUGAUAAGCCUAAAGGCAUGCCUAAAUGAUCAACCUAAAUUUGGAGUUGUCAAGAAGCUCCCCCCUUGGGUAGACAGUCUGGUUUAGAUCUGCCUAUGCCUGGUGCUCUUCACUCAUUCUUCUUUUUAUGCUUCUAUGGGCAGUUUAGUUUAUGACCUGUGUUAUGCAGGAUCCUGACAUAGUAUAAAAGGUAUCAUUUAACCCCCUUUUAUUUAGUGAGAGUGGCUCUUAUAUCCUUAAAAAUACACAAACAAUUCUAUAUUCAAAAGUAUAUAUAUAUUAGGUCCCCUUCUGGUAAUACUAUAUUGAGCAAGUGGGUUCUGCCUUCAUGGGGUUUCUGUUCUAUUUGGGUAACUGUAUCUCAAACAAGUACUAUAAUGCAAAUUCUUUUUUUUUUAUUAUACUCUAAGUUCUGGGGUAUGUGUGCAGAAUGUACAGGUUUGUUACAUAGUUAGACAUGUGCCAUGGUGGUUUGCUGCAUCCAUCACCCUGUCAUCUACAUUAGGUAUUUCUCCUCAUGCUAUCCCUAUAUAUUUGGAAGGAAACCAACUGGGGUUUGAGAAACUGAGAUUGAAAAUAAAUAUGGAGUAGAGGACAGGGGAAUGAAAGAGGAAGGGUGUUUUCUGAGAUGAAACUGAAAUGUUAAAAAGGAGCAGCUGUGCAGGAAGAUGGGCACCGGAUCUGCCUUUAUAAAUACCCUGAUGUAGGAAAAGAGAUAGCCUAUGUAGAAAAGAAAGAAGAUCAUUGUGCAAGUUUCCAAAUGGCUCAGAAUGAUAUUGGGGAGAUCAUGUGGUUUCAUCUGAGUUUUAUACUUAGUGCAAUGGAAGAUCAAUGAAAGGUUUUACGUAGAGGAGGGAUUUAUAAAGAGAAGACCAUAGCUGCUCCACAGAGAGCUGAUUAAGAACUAGCAAGCACACUAACAGGGAGAUGAGAAAGGGAUUUUUGUAGCUUACACAGUUGAGAGGAGAUGGUGUCUUGAGCCAGGAUGGUGUCAGUUGGUGGACAAAUUUGACAUCUGUUUUCAAGAUAGAACUAAUAAUACUUGAUUAGGUGUAACCUAUGGAGGUAAAGAGAGUAAUUAAGGAUGACUCAGUAGUUUGUGGUUUGAGCAGCUAACUAGAUGUGGGUAUUAGUGAAAUAGGGAAAACUGGUGAGAGAGAGAGAGAGAAAGGGAAGCCUUGGGUGGUGGGGGAAUCACAAGUUUCACUUUGACCAUGUCAGUUGUGUAAUUUCUUAGUCAUAUGUAAGAGAAGAUGUCAAGUAGGCUGUAACUUGUAAAUCCGGGUUUCCAAAGAGAUCUCAACUAAAGGUGUACAUAUUAGUGGUCACACUUGUCAUACGAGGUAUGUGCAUGUGUUAAAGUAUGUAGAAACUAAGGGGUUUUCUGCUGGUCCUUGUCUCUGGGAGGUGGUGGUGUCCCUUCAGUUUCCCUACCCCUGCUGCUUCUUUGAUGAAUAUUAUCUUUGCUCUGUCAUCAUUGGACUGUGAGGAGCCUAAGGGCUCAGCUGUUCAGUUUGAAGGGUAAUGGCACAACAUGAAAGGACUUGGCUAGAAAUAGCUCAUCCUGGCUUUUCUCUUUCAGUCUAAUUUUUGAUCCUGCUCCCCAACCAUGUUUAUUUACAGUUAACUCUUUAAUACAUCUAGUAAAAGGAGGCCAAUGCAUUUUGUAGGCAAUUGAAAUAGAGGAAGAAUAGGGCUACUGGCAUGAGCUGGUACAGUCUUGGCUUUAAGUCUUUAUUAAUUUCCUGUAGGAAUAUGAGGGUAUAUGUUUUUCACCAGCGCUGCCAUGAUAGAUAUUACUCAAGUUCACCAAAAUCCACUUCUCCUCCCCUGCUGGUUUCUUGGGAGACUGUAUUUUUAAUCUCCCAGAACAACUAGUUCUAGAUAGUGGCCUAUGAGAGAACAUGGCAUGCUGCAUUUACAGGUUGGGGCAGCAAAAACCCCAGUGCAGUUUCCAACUUCCUUUUUCUCUCUGGGAAGUGUGGUGGCCACAUAUUAAGAUGGAGCUUCAAUCACCAAGUCACCGCAUGGAAUACAGCUGCUCAGAAGCUGACUUAUGGCAACCUUUGCACAAGCAAGAAAUAUACUUUUAUAGUGUCCCUAGAUUUCAAAGGAUGUUUGUUACUCCAGCAUAAGUGUAGCCUAACUAGAUUAAUCCAAGUGGCAUCUGAAAACAUUGCAAUGCUGUAUGCUGUUAGGCUGUAACUCCUCAAAGACAGGAAUGUUGCUGAACCUCAGGUCAAGUGCAAACCCCAACAAAGAUUGGUAUGCUUAACUGUUACUCUCCAGUCAGUAUUGAUCAUGACUAUCUUUUUACCAGAUAGACUAUCAGUGCUCUUUUCAGUCUGAACUACUGAACUAAAAUUAAAUCGCCAUUUGAAGAUUUUAGAACUUUUCUCCUGGGCUCCAGCAAUUGUUACUCAUGUCAGGACAUUCUGGGGCAUGCAUUUCUCUAGUGCCCCAUUUUGUAUUGCAUGUAAGUGACAGCAAUUAGUCACUGCUUCCCUUUACUUUCAUGUGGCUCAUGUUUUUUUCUGCCAUGUAUUACUGAGUACUUGGCACUUGUACCUGGUCUCAGUUGCUGGGCUUGAGACUUAGAGAUAAAUGUUGUUUUGCCAGUGCCAUUACUGUAUGUGUGUGUGUUGAGGGUUUGUGGGCGGGGUGGUUAAUCUGCUUAAGCAAUUAUUUUGCUUUGAAGAAGCUGACUUAUUUUUACCUCCUCAGUGCAAAUCUGGUAUAUGUGGCUUAUCAUUUACACAUUGACUUUCUGAGACACAAGUGCUUCUCCUUGAAUGACCCCUUCUCCUCUUGAGCUUAGUUGGCUAAUAUUUAUCAGCAACAUCUGGGGCUUAGCACAAUGAAGUUAUUUACAGAAGUGCUUAUUAAUGCACUUUUGUGAGUCAUGGCUCUUUCUAGCCAACUCUGCCAUUUUGUUGAGGAUGGCACCCAGUGGAACCCCAAGAUUUGCAGCUAUUAGGAAGCAGAGGCUUGUGUGCAUUGAUCAAAACUCACAGAUAAUAGAGGAAAAAGGAACAGUUACAGUGGAAAUGGACAUUAGAAAUCAUCUAAUCCAACCUGCUCAUUUUACUUCUGAGAAUAUUGACAGGCAAAGAAAUGAGAUGACUUGCAGUAGCUGCAAAUGAGUUAUAGAGAUAUUGUGUGUUUCUUGAGGAUAAACUCUGUGCCUGUGUCAUCUCUGGCUAUCAGCACCUUCAUGCUUACUAGAUUCUGAAAAUAAGAUUAACAAAUGAUAUUGACAAUGACAAUUCAAAAAAUCUUGGAGCCCAAAAAUUACUCACUGGUGAAAGCCAAAAGGACUUAUGCAAACAUGCAAUUUGCCUGUUGGAAAAGGUAAGUCAAAAUGUCUAAAAUAUUGUGAUUCAUGAGUGAUAUUUGCAAGAGAGUCCUGAUCAGUUCUGUCACGAGUCAUGAAGAAUGCCAUUCUUUGUUUAGUACAUCAGGCCAUAUUAGCAAUUCUAGAAGACCAUGCUGAGAGUAUAGGGGUGGCAUUUUCAAUUCUAGAAUUUAAAAGGAUAAACUUUGGAAUAUUGAGAAUACAAAAGAAUCAUACUCUAAGUGGGAUUGUUUUUCAUUUAAAAAUUUGACACUUAUCUCUUAAGGUCACUGGUUGAUAGAUUUCUGGUCCCUACAUUUUAAAAAUGAGAAUAUAGGUGAGGCAUAAAGGUGAGGACUCCAAAUCUAAAUUCCAAACCUUUUGCUCAUUGCUCUGUCCAUAAGUAUUUUGCCCUGGCAUUCUCUAGUUCCCCACUCUCAGAAUGUGACUUCUUCUUCUUUUUUCUAAGCCAGUUUAAUACAACAUUAUUAACUACUAGGAUAGUCACUGGAGAACACCAAAUAACAAGGACUGGUAAUUAUGUCUUAAAAUUCUCUUUAUUAAGUGCAAACUGACAGACUGCUCAAGGAUCCAGUUGUAACCAUUACCCAAUUUUACAAUGCAAUUGAAAAGGGCUUCUUCAUUGGCUGUGGUUGGGUUGCCUAUAGUGUAAUAAAUACUUUCUGAUGGUUUGUUUCUCUGUUUCAGGAAGUGUAAUGAUAAACAUACAACAGAGCUAGGAGUUGGUCUGCAGUUCACUGGCACUAUAGAUUAUUUAAUAGAAACAUGGAGAUUUAUAAUGUGCUGAUGUGCAGAGUGGAAGAGACCUCUUAUUUAAAUUUUAUGAUCUGAAUAUUUUUUAAAUAUUGAUUUGGUUGUCACUAUGGGCUAUAGAAUUCAUUUGCUUCUUUGAUUCAUUAACAAAAGGCUUUGUAUGUAGUGUCCCUGGGAUAGUGUGGAGGAAGAUAAGCUUGUUGCAUAUCAAUAACACAAAAUGAUGCACUAGAAGAAAUCCUGCUGGCUUCAUUUGCAGGGGAAAUGAAGAGGAGGAAUACUGUUGUUUUAGAAAAAUGAAUUCGGUAUCUUUUUUUCUGGCACCCACUCAAAAAGAGAAAAAAAAACACUGUAAGCAAACUGUGAAACUUGGGUAGGAGUGUUUUAGUUGUUUUAUUAGCGAUUUAAAGAAAACAAAGAAUGGGAAUCAAGUGCAAAGAUAAACAACAUCAGGAAAGGAAUUCUUCAGUAUGUUCCCUAAAAAGGUUUCUGUAAAGGCUAAUUUACAAUUAAUUGAUUUGAGGAGGUAUGCUGUAUGUGGCUUACUUGGUUUUAUUCUCACAUUUACUCUGUUAACCAGUAACAGAUGAAUAUUAGCUCUUUUGUGGUUGUUGAAUUAUUAUUUUCCUUUAUUUUCUUUCCAAACCCCUAUUGGUCAUCUUUAGUGUUAAUUCCUUUCCCCCAAAUGCCCAAACAUGGAAAAAUAUAGUGUAUUACUCAGGAUUCUCUAGGGAAACCGAACAAUUAGAGAUCCAAAUCUAAAUCUGUCUUUCUAUUGACAGACUGGAUUAUUGGCUCAUGUGGCUGACCUGUCUGAAAUUCAUAGGGCAGGCUUACUAGCUGGAAACUCAGGCAGGAUUUCCAUGUUGCAGACUUGAGGCAGAAUUCUUUCUUUGGAAAACUCAUCUUUGCUUUUAAGGCCAUCAACUGAUUAGGUGAGAUCCAUCCAUAUUAUAAAGGGUAAUCUGCUUUAAAGUCAGUUGGUUACAGAUGUUAACAAAUACCUUUAGAGUAACAUCUAGACACAUUUGGCCAAACAACUAGGGACCAUAACUUAACAAGUUAACACGUUAAAUUACCCAUCGCAUGGGGUGUGUGCAUGUGUGUUUCUUUUCAGUAUAAAGGGUAUUAAGACCACAUUGUUAAGUUAUUAGAAAACUAGGAAAGAGAAGAAAUCAUAUAUCUAUUACUCUACCAGAAUCUGUUUUAUUUUCUUCCAGUAUUUUAAAUAAAAGGGUUUCUUUUAAAAUAUCUUGAAGAUAUUUGCUAUAUGUUACAGGUAUGAAAGCUUUUCUCUUGCUCAUAUUUGUCCCAGUUGUUACAGAAAAAACAGUGUCAUGGGAACUUGGUGCUCUUGAUCCUUGUCCAUUGUCUGCCUAAUUUCAUUUCUGUCCAUUUUCUCACUAAUUUCACGAGUUGAGAAAGAAAGAAGGUCCUUCUGAACUGUGGUUUCCUUCUCCAUUUAUGAAGACUUUGGGUUUGGUAAUCUCAGGUGACCUUCUCAGCUUAAAUAUUUUAUUAAUCCAGGAUGUCCUCAAAUGUGUUAUAUGCACCCCUCUAUGACUAUAUGCCAGAAGGUUGGAUGUGGUAUGAGGAUGAUCAGUGUUUGAUUUAGUAAUUUGAUAUUUUGUAUAUUUGAAAAAGAUAGAAUUAAGGCACCAAAUCAUGGUUUUUCUCUGGUAAUUGCUUAAGACAAGGUGAAAACUAACAAAGGGAAUUACUUUAAAGAAAAAUAUUGGGAAAAUACAUAUUUUUGAUUACAUAGAAAAACAUUGGUAAUGGCCAGGGUUUGGGAUGUAUACUGUAAUAACCUGUGAAUCUGAUUCAUUUGCUCUCACUCUGCCCUUCAAGAAACCCAUAAAGACCACAGUUCUUUUAGCAGACAGCAUUGUAGAUAGAUCAUUGCUCAGUUAAUUCUUUGUCCAACCUGUAUUUUGCUAAGUAUUGUGCCAGAUGCAAGAAUCUUUGGGUAAAUGAGAUGUGGAUUUGGCCCUUGGUUACUUAGUCUAGUGGAACAUCAGAAGUAUAAAUGAUUAAUUACAACCCAGUACUUUAUCUACAGUAAGAGAAGUAUGUUCUCCUUUCAGGUCGGGGAUAACAGAGGAGAGAAACUAGCCUUACUCAGGGGACAUUCAAAAAAACCUCACUGAAGUCAUUCUUGAUCUGGCCAACAAAUUGGCAAUGGGCAUUCAGGUGCAGGGAAUAGGAUGUCUGAGAGUUUUAGCAGACUCAUGGGUAUUUGUGGCUACAUUUUUUUUUUUAAAGGAAGUGCCUGUGGAAGAUGCUGCUCUAAAACUUCUUACCUGGUCACUAGUGGCAAGCUCACACUAAUCUUUCAGUAUUCACAGCUUUGAUUCUGGAAUAUUUGCCAUCUCUGCAUUUUUGUGACCUAACUUGGAGCUUCUAUUUCUUGACUCCUGAAUGAGUCUCAAGCAAAAGUCUGAAUAUUCUGUAAACAUUCUUUUUCAGUAUGGCUUUUUCUUUUUAAGAAAGA